rnacentral:misc_RNA from 1 species
AGACAAUAAAUAGCUUACUAUUUGGGAUCCUUGUGAGACUAUUGAGUCAUGAAUUUUUACAUGGCCUGGAUUCUCUUCGCCUUCAUUAUCCCAAAUUCUUAUGGGAAUAAAAAAAUAUUCAAACUCCCCAAAAAUUUAAAAGACUGUAAAGACGAUGCAUCAAGGAGCAUGGAACAGGAGUUUGAAUGCAUUCUUGCCGUACUUAAAAGGAUGGAGGGUGUUUUAGAGACUUACACAUAUUGGUCGCUGAGAGAAGAGGAUUUUGUCGACGACAGUGAAGAUGAUAUUUGGGUUGGAUGUGCCGUGAGUGAUCCCUUUAAGCAAGACCCACAUAUUUGCAUAUUUCCCUCUGGCCGAUGGGCAAAUCCUGAAGAAUUUGCCAUUGGUCCAUUCACAUUUCAUACAUUCACAGAGAGUAAACCCUGGUAUGAGUCAAUAUUUGCGCUUUUUGUGGAUAACACCUACAAUUCAUGGACUGUCAAUCCCCAUGAGAAAUAUCUGAAGACGCCUUCAAAUUUUAUAUCCUUAUGUAUGUUCAAUCUAUACGGAGCAAAUUUGCAAGAGCCAUGGAAGGACUUGGCUACUUUUGAUACAGGGUUCUGGGGCCCAGUUACCAGAUCAUGGAAAAGGUACUAUGGACAAGUAUCUUCAAAUUGUCAUUUCACAACCUGCGAUCCAAAUAUUUAUAUAGAAUUUGACGAUAAGGAUGUUCAGAAUGUAGGAACCUCGGAUGAUAUUGCCAAUGUUCGACAUUGCAGUGGAUACUACGUCAUUGAUUAUAUUCCUUUAAAAACUCGCUUAUAUGGAGAAAAUUGUGGACGUCCAGCCUAUAGACAUGUUUAUUCAUCUUGUUACAUCCGCUUCUAUCGACUCUCAGAUUCAGAGUCUUGCUUAGAUUCUAAGAAACUGAUUGUGGCCCUACAUAGUGGUGAUGACGCAGAAGUAAACAUAUAUCCUCAAAACAAUGAGAGCACUUAUAAAACCUUUCUCGACAAUGCCAUGCUCAAGUUUGAAACAAAAAACGUGGAAUAUGGCCAUGAAAAUGUUCCGGAACAAACAGAGUAUAAAAGUUGGGUUUGUUUGAAACAGGUUUGGGCACAAAGCAAACAUGAAUGGACCUCUAAAAACAAAAUGUUGAUCAAAGGGGAUAUCUUCACCGGAAAAAAGCACAAGAAAUUUCGACCUCCAUGUGGAACUCAUCAUAAGGAAUCAGAAAAUUUUGACAUCGAUUAUGGACAACAGCCAUGGGUCGUUUAUUUGGAUAUAGGGCAGGAAAAAAUGCCCUGUACUGGAACAGUUCUAUCCCCACGUCAUGUCAUUACUGUUGCCUCGUGUAUUUGUGAUCCCCAUGAUAUUAGCUAUAAUAUUUGGCGUGGAUCCAAUGUUAACGCUUGCAUAGAUAAGGCGACUAGAACUGCAAAUGACCCACGUAGAAUGCACUACGGAGGAUCCAGAGAGUUCAAAGAGCUUACCAUUCGUCCUCCCUAUAAAUCUCCGUCUGGAAGACUAGUAAAACCCAAGAGUUUUGAAGUACUUUGGGUAACUUUACACCCUAAUUAUGAUCCUCAUACGAGAGAAUAUAAUAUAGCCAUACUUGGAACUAUUCAAGCAAUGCAGUUCAGUUAUUUUUUUUACCCUAUAUGUCUUCCAGAUCCUAAGAGAAUGGAUUUUAUGCAUGUAUCAAAGGGCACCAUUUUGUAUAGUCUGAAGGCCUUACAGAAAAUGAAGAAUACAAACAAACAAUAUACGAACUUGUUUAAUCAUGUUAAACACGGCGAGUGUACGAAUGAAUGCUCUUCUGAGAUGGAUAAAGUAUGGUCAUGGACUAACCUUUGUCAUGAAUUUCAUCAACAAUUUGAAUCCAAGCAUAAAAAAAUAUUUCCAAAUGAAUUCAUGGAAAGAAUGGCCUCCGUGGAUAUUAGAUAUCGUUUAAAGGAGAACAUUAGCCUCGUGGAGCAUUGUACAGGAGUGGAUGUCAAGAAACCCCCAUUAGAUUCCCAAAACAGAGAAGGAAAGUGUACAGUGAAAAAACCAAAUCUGGAUAUAGAACAUUAUGUUAAGGAUGAUACUCCUUCAUCAGAGUUCAGUGGAUACUGUGAUGAUUCUAACAAGCUUUCGCCUUUUGUGAAUGAAAAACUUCCUCUCUACGAGACCCUCACAACGAUUGUGCAUAACAAGGAUUGCAAUCUUCCAAUCGACACGAAGACUAGGAUAUGCACUGCAUAUGUUCCGAGAACUCCAACAACCUAUAUAUUAAUGGAUAAAGAGACCAAAUAUAAGAAAAAUGGAACUUCCUAUGAACAUGAAGUCAUAGGGUAUUUGCAUGGCGCCUACCGAUCUUAUUAUCCCAGAAUGAAGGAAAGAUUACUAAAGAAGAAAUUUGAUCGAUAUGGUAGCCCCAUAUAUUCAGAGGAUGACGUACUACCCCACUAUGGAUUUCCUCCCAAGCUUGGAGUCUGUCAUCCUCAUUUAAUCGAUGUUGGAGCCCCAUCUUAUAUACGUAAAGUAUCCAUGGAUCCUAAAACCGGAGCUCCAAAUUAUAAUGGUACAGGAACAGCCAUUCUCAUUUCUUUGCAGUCGGGAAGGCGUCAGUACGAUGGAAAGAUUUGUAAUCUUCAAUCUGGUUUCUACACGGAUGAAGAAAUUCUGUUAACCAAAGAGAGGUCACUCCUUCAUCAUGGAUGACUACUACUACCACUACAACUACAAUCAACACAACUCCCUACGAUCCCUGGAAUGGAACACGAUUUCGACACAUUCCCCCGGGGAAACCCAUGUUUUAUGAAGAAGAGUAUUGGCCAAAUGGAGUUAACCCAAUGCAUCUAUUUAAUAUAUUUCCUGAUAUACCAAAUUCUUCAACUUCUCCUCCAGGGAUUUUAGAGUCCCUUCUAGUGUGCCAGAUGUUUUUAAGACUCAGCUACUCAUUCUUUGACAUAUGGACAAUAAAUGAUUUAAGUAUUUGAUACACCACUAAUAUACAGAGAGUUACUCAUCGUUUAUUAUAAUAAAUUAAUAUUUACAUAA